rnacentral:rRNA from 1 species
UACGUAGGGUGCGAGCGUUAAUCGGAAUUACUGGGCGUAAAGCGUGCGCAGGCGGUUCGCCAAGUCAGGUGUGAAAUCCCCGGGCUUAACCUGGGAAUGGCAUUUGGGACUGCAAGGCUGGAGUGUGGCAGAGGAGACUGGAAUUCCCGGUGUAGCAGUGAAAUGCGUAGAUAUCGGGAGGAAUACCGAUGGCGAAGGCAGGUCUCUGGGCUGACACUGACGCUCAUGCACGAAAGCGUGGGGAGCAAACAGG